GUUUGAUCCUGGCUCAGAAUCAACGCUGGCGGCGCGCCUAACACAUGCAAGUCGAACGAGAAAGUGGAGCAAUCCAUGAGUACAGUGGCGUACGGGUGAGUAACACGUGGGUAAUCUACCUUUUAGUGAGGAAUAACUUUGGGAAACCGAAGCUAAUACCGCAUAAGCCUGAGAAGGGAAAGCAGCAAUGCGCUGAAAGAGGAGCCCGCGGCCGAUUAGCUAGUUGGUGAGGUAACGGCCCACCAAGGCUUAGAUCGGUAGCCGGCCUGAGAGGGCACACGGCCACACUGGCACUGAAACACGGGCCAGACUCCUACGGGAGGCAGCAGUGGGGAAUCUUGCACAAUGGGGGAAACCCUGAUGCAGCGACGCCGCGUGAGCGAUGAAGCCCUUCGGGGUGUAAA
rnacentral:rRNA from 1 species